rnacentral:rRNA from 1 species
UUAAAAUUGUUGCAGUUAAAACGUUCGUAGUUGAAUAUUAAAGAAUCCGAUGUUUCAUUUAAACUGGUUUGGGAAAACCAAAUAUAUUAUAUAUUUUGCUUUGUUCAAAAUAAGGUUUUCUAAUAAAUUAUGUUUUUAUCAGAUAUGACAGAAUCUUUUUUAAAAUCUCUUCAAUAUGCUUUUAUUGCUUUUGAGAGGUUUUGUUACUUUGAGUAAAAUUAAGUGUUCAUAACAGACGGGUAGUCAUGAUUGAGUUCAUUGUGUUUGAAUACUACAGCAUGGAAUAACAAAUAUGAAUAAGCUAAUUUUUUUUUUUUUUCAUAAUUUUUUUUGAUAUUCUUAUUAGCUUAGUUACGAUUAAUAGGAGUAGCUUUGGGGGCAUUCGUAUUCAGAUGUCAGAGGUGAAAUUCUAAGAUUUUCUGGAGACGGACUACUGCGAAAGCAUUUGCCUAAUCUAUUUCCAUUAAUCAAGAACGAAAGUUAAGGGAGUGAAGACGAUCAGAUACCGUCGUAAUCUUAACCAUAAACUAUACCGACUAGGUGUUGGAUGAAUAUAAAAAAUAUAUAAAUAUGUAGCAUUUCUUAGGGAAUGUUGAUUUUAUAUUAGAAUUGCUUCCUUCAGUACCUUAUGAGAAAUCAAAGUCUUUGGGUUCUGGGGGCGAGUAUUCGCGCAAGCGAGAAAGUUAAAAGAAUUGACGGAAGGGCACCACCAGGCGUGGAGCUUGCGGCUUAAUUUGACUCAACACGGGAAAACUCACUAGUUUAAGACAAGAGUAGGAUUGACAGAUUAAUAGCUCUUUCUUGAUUUCUUGGAUGGUGAUGCAUGGCCCGUUUUUAGUUCGUGAAUAUGAUUUGUCUGGGUUAAUUCCGAUAACGAACGAGAUCUUAACCUGCUAAUUUAGCGGUAAGUACACUAUAUUUUUAUUUGAAAUUGAAUAUAGGUAAUUAUACAUGUUUAUUCAGUGUUCAAAUUAGGAUAUUUUUUUAUUAAAAUAUUCUUUUCCCUGUUCUACUAUAAUAAUUUGUUUUUUUUUACUCUAUUUCUCUCUUCUUUUAAGAAUGUACUUGUUUGAUUAAAUAAAGCUUCUUAGAGGAACAGUGUGUAUCUAACACAAGGAAGUUUAAGGCAACAACAGG